rnacentral:lncRNA from 10 species
CUGUAACCCACUGUUAUAGUAGAUACUCAAUGGCAUGAUAGUAAGGUGUGAGGAAGAAAAAAAGUUCUACAAUGGCUUGCAUUCUUGGAAGGUAAAGGGAUAAGAAGCUGUGAAGGUUACGUAAUGGAGAUGAAAGGCAAGCUACAGGAAGUGAAAUUGGCAAUUCUUCUUGGUCCCUGUUUGGGAAAAUGUGAAUCUCAUCCUCUCAGUUUCUAGUUUGACAGACUAUAAGUUUCUUUUCAGAGUUAGAGACGAAUGCUGAAAGACCAUGAAAAAUCUCAGAGACAAGUCAUUUCUGGGACAAUAAAUAGCGGAAGACAGCAUUUAACAAUGAAUUAAGGGAAAUUCCAUUCUUUCCUGUAUUUCAGCACUGCGGAAGUCUACGAAGCAGUUAAUGUUAAGAAAUACCAUUGACUAAAAAAAAAAAAAUGAUUUUCUGCAUUGGAUGUUAAAAGAUAUGAAGCAAGAAAUUGACCAUUCAGUGGAACAAUGUGAAUCCUAAAUUAUCUAAAUAAAAACAAGAGGAUCAGUUAAUUCAGAAAAAAGAAUUGUAUAAAUUCUGGAACUCGGUAGAUAUAUUCUCCUUAACAAAUUCUGGCAAAGAAUUCUCCCAAUCACUUAUUCAUUAGGGAUUGAGAAUUGACACUAGAAACAGAUAACUUGUGCUUAAUAUUGUGCUUAAGCUUUAAGCAUAGAAAAUUUCCUUGAUGCAAGGGGGUUACUGUGUCACCUCAAGUUAAAAGGCAAUUUAGGAAGUGAUAUGUAACUAGCAGUUUGAAAGUAUUCUAAAUAUUACUUGCUAACAAAAUUCACUCUCUACAGAAGGGACAUACCUAACAAAGAAUACAUCUUGCAGAUUGCUACAUAAAGAGUAAGUACAUUGACAAAUAUUAUGUACUUAAAAUAUAUACAGCUCUGUACUUAGCAUGCCACAUAGAAUUCCUUAAUAUUCCUCUUAACAGCUGUACAAGUUAACUUGACUUUUAUACGCAUUAUACACAUGAAAAAAAUGAGAUGAGAAAGGCCAAAUAAAAUGAAUGAAUGAAUGAAUGAGUUUUUAAAAUUUAUUUUGACAUGAGAGCCAAUCCUAUCAGCCUUGCUGAUUUCUUCAAAAUACUUGCAAAUAAGUUGCUAUAAUAUAAAAACAUCUUCUUAUUGUUUCUCUCUCCUUAAGGAUUUCUCUGAGACAUUUCUAAUAUUUAAAUCUUUUUUCCCAUAGGUUGUCUUUCACGGUACUUUGUAUACACUACUUUGGGUUCAUAUGCCUCAAGUGAAAAAUUGGUCUAAUAACAUUAAUACCUCUGUCACAACCCCAUUGCACAUGAUCAGUUCUAAUAAUGGGUUUUAAAGUAAUUUUGUUUUAUUUUAAAUUACUAUUCAGAUAUCAGUCACUAUGACAUCAGACUUUUUACUCUCUGUGAUAGUUAUAUAUCAACUUAGCUGGAGUAUAGUAUCAAGUUAUUCAAUAAAACACUAAUCUAGGUGUCACUGUGAAGGGAUUUUGUAGAUAUGAUUAACAUCUACAUUUAGUUGACACUAAGUAAAGGAGAUUUUCCUUGAUAAUGUGGUCAAGCCUCAUCCAAUCAAUUGAAAGGCCUGAGCUUUUCUAGAGGAAGAAGUAAUUUUAUCUCAGGACUCCAGCAUUAGCUACUGCUGGACAAUCCCAGCAUCCCAACCUGCCCAACAGAUUUUAGACUAGACUUACCACCUCAUAUGAGCACAUAGCAGAUUCCCAGAAAUCAAUCUAUCUACCUAUGUAUCUAUCAAUCUAUCAUCUCUCUCCUACUGCUUCUGUUUCUGUAGAUGACACUGACAGAUGUGAAUAUUCACAUAAAAGCUGUCAAUAUGCAUGUUCCUUCCUACUACUUGUACCAAUUAAGCAAAGAGUGUAACGGAUGCAUAUUUUUCUAAAGAAUUUCUGUAUGUGUUCUCCGAUUAUUGGUCAGAAAUAAAAAUAUGUUUAUAAUGCAAAAUUCAUAAAAUGUGUAUAAAUGAUAAUGUAUAUGCCUAUAUAAGUGUGUGUUUUUCUGUGUAUACAUAUAUGUAUAUAUGAGUGUGUGUGUAUGUGUGUGCAUUUUUUUGUAACUGAUACUGUGGCCUUUUAUAUCUACCAAAAUCCAGGACUAGUUUAGAAAAGAAAUUACAGCAGCAUUCUAAAAU